GUCGGCGCCAUGCAUCAUGGCGCCGAGGUUUCACGUCUCGGCGCCAUGGAUCACGGCGCCGAGGUCCUGGACUGCCUUCUCACGUGGAUCUGACGUGGCAGGGAGCUCGGCGCCACAGAUCACGGCGCCGAGCUUCCUGCUACAAACCAGCCGACGCACUUCGCUACCCGUGGACACCGUUCAUAUUUUCAUCUCCCCUCUCGGCUCUUUCUCUCCAAAAACCGAGCACGAAUUUGGAUUCAAUAUUUGGACCAUCAAAAGUUUGAUUUGUUCCAUAGAUUUUGAAGAGCCAGGUAUACUCUUUCACAUAUUAGUUUUUGACUCAUUGAUUUGACCUAUAUUACACGUAUGUUGUAGACUUAGAUAAACCA
rnacentral:lncRNA from 1 species